UACGUAGGUGGCAAGCGUUGUCCGGAUUUAUUGGGUUUAAAGGGUGCGUAGGCGGCUUUGUAAGUCAGUGGUGAAAUAUGGCAGCUCAACUGUCAGGGUGCCAUUGAUACUGCGGAGCUUGAGUACAGAUGAGGUAGGCGGAAUUGACGGUGUAGCGGUGAAAUGCUUAGAUAUCGUCAAGAACACCGAUAGCGAAGGCAGCUUACUGGGCUGUAACUGACGCUGAGGCACGAAAGCCAGGGGAGCAAACGGG
rnacentral:rRNA from 1 species